UACGUAGGGGGCUAGCGUUGUCCGGAUUUAUUGGGCGUAAAGAGCGCGUAGGCGGCCGAGUAAGUCCGACGUGAAAUCUGGAGGCUCAACCUCCAGCGGUCGUUGGAAACUACUCGGCUAGAGUCCGGAAGAGGAGAGUGGAAUUCCUGGUGUAGCGGUGAAAUGCGCAGAUAUCAGGAAGAACACCAAUGGCGAAGGCAGCUCUCUGGGACGGUACUGACGCUGAGACGCGAAAGCGUGGGGAGCGAACAGG
rnacentral:rRNA from 1 species